rnacentral:rRNA from 1 species
GGUUGUUUGAACCGCAUGGUUCAAACAUAAAAGGUGGCUUCGGCUACCACUUACAGAUGGACCCGCGGCGCAUUAGCUAGUUGGUGAGGUAACGGCUCACCAAGGCAACGAUGGGUAGCCGACCUGAGAGGGUGAUCGGCCACACUGGGACUGAGACACGGCGGAGACUCCUACGGGAGGCAGCAGUAGGGAAUCUUCCGCAAUGGACGAAAGUCUGACGGAGCAACGCCGCGUGAGUGAUGAAGGUAUUCGGAUCGUAAAGCUCUGUUGUUAGGGAAGAACAAGUACCGUUCGAAUAGGGCGGUACCUUGACGGUACCUAACCAGAAAGCCACGGCUAACUACGUGCCAGCAGCCGCGGUAAUACGUAGGUGGCAAGCGUUGUCGGGAAUUAUUGGGCGUAAAGGGCUCGCAGGCGGUUUCUUAAGUCUGAUGUGAAAGCCCCCGGCUCAACCGGGGAGGGUCAUUGGAAACUGGGGAACUUGAGUGCAGAAGAGGAGAGUGGAAUUCCACGUGUAGCGGUGAAAUGCGUAGAGAUGUGGAGGAACACCAGUGGCGAAGGCGACUCUCUGGUCUGUAACUGACGCUGAGGAGCGAAAGCGUCGGGAGCGAACAGGAUUAGAUACCCUGGUAGUCCACGCCCGUAAACGAUGAGUGCUAUGUGUUAGGGGGUUUCCGCCCCUUAGUGCUGCAGCUAACGCAUUAAGCACUCCGCCUGGGGAGUACGGUCGCAAGACUGAAACUCAAAGGAAUUGACGGGGGCCCGCACAAGCGGUGGAGCAUGUGGUUUAAUUCGAAGCAACGCGAAGAACCUUACCAGGUCUUGACAUCCUCUGACAAUCCUAGAGAUAGGACGUCCCCUACGGGGGCAGUGUGACAGGUGGUGCAUGGUUGUCGUCAGCUCGUGUCGUGAGAUGUUGGGUUAAGUCCCGCAACGAGCGCAACCCUUGAUUUUAGUUGCCAGCAUUCAGUUGGGCACUCUAAGGUGACUGCCGGUGACAAACCGGAGGAAGGUGGGGAUGACGUCAAAUCAUCAUGCCCCUUAUGACCUGGGCUACACACGUGCUACAAUGGACAGAACAAAGGGCAGCGAAACCGCGAGGUUAAGCCAAUCCCACAAAUCUGUUUUCAGUUCGGAUCGCAGUUUGCAACUCGACUGCGUGAAGCUGGAAUCGCUAGUAAUCGCGGAUC